rnacentral:rRNA from 1 species
AUUGAACGCUGGCGGCAGGCUUAACACAUGCAAGUCGAGCGGAGAUGAGGUGCUUGCACCUUAUCUUAGCGGCGGACGGGUGAGUAAUGCUUAGGAAUCUGCCUAUUAGUGGGGGACAACAUUCCGAAAGGAAUGCUAAUACCGCAUACGUCCUACGGGAGAAAGCAGGGGAUCUUCGGACCUUGCGCUAAUAGAUGAGUCUAAGUCGGAUUAGCUAGUUGGUAGGGUAAAGGCCUACCAAGGCGACGAUCUGUAGCGGGUCUGAGAGGAUGGUCCGCCACACUGGGACUGAGACACGGCCCAGACUCCUACGGGAGGCAGCAGUGGGGAAUAUUGGACAAUGGGGGGAACCCUGAUCCAGCCAUGCCGCGUGUGUGAAGAAGGCCUUAUGGUUGUAAAGCACUUUAAGCGAGGAGGAGGCUACUGAGACUAAUACUCUUGGAUAGUGGACGUUACUCGCAGAAUAAGCACCGGCUAACUCUGUGCCAGCCGCCGCCGUAAGAC